GGAAGCCCUUACUUUACAGUUGGUCCUGCCUAAUCAGGGUCAGAGAGUAAGGAAAACAGUCCGCAUCAGCAGGUGUUUCCUGCGCUCCCACUGGCCACUGUGGCAAGUCGCUGGGUGAGCAGCAUGGAGUGGAAACUCACGCUGUUUGCUGAGGCCAGAGCCUUCAAGGCUGGAAGGCACCUUGUCUAACAGGGAGUGAGGAAGGCAUUCUCGGCCUUGGAGAAGGGACCAGGAAAAGAAAGGUCCCGAAAUGAAGAAUCCUGAUGUGUAUUUAACUAAACAAGUAAGGCAGAACAUCCAUGUAAAAAAAAAAACAGUAAACGAGCCCCUAUGUGACCAGCUGGUUUGAGGGAGUACCUGUCACUCCAGAACAUCACCUAUACCGUGUCUGUAAAAUACCAUAUUCCUGGUUUCUGAAAAUCAGAAAAUAUGUUUUUGUUUUUCUUUAAUGGAUUGCUCUCUGAACUAAUACCCAUCACUUCAAAAAGUUUUGUUUCUGUAAUUGAUUCUAAAAUGUGAAAGAAAAAAUUGUAUGAUGACUUCUUUAUAAGAAUAAGUUAUACCAGCGAGUUUUAAUUAAUCUUAACAUACCAGAAAAAAAUGUUUAAUGAUGCUUAAGCCUCAAAGGCUUCUGUGAAAAUGAGGAUAAGUGUCCGAAGUAGGAAAACACUGCCAUUUGGGCAGAAGACCUCAUUUUUCCUCCUGCUUCACCUCCUUCAUACGCUCUUCCCACCCUCUUAUCGUCCCUCUUGACUUGUGAGCAGAGGAUUUGCAUGAGUUUAUUAUCUUGAUAGACCAAUAAGAUCAUGCAUGGACUAGACGUUACCAGCAAAGAAUCAGAUUUGGUUUAAGCUAUAGAAAUAUUAUGUUAGUUUACAAAAUUAUGAUAAAUUAAUUAAUGUAUUUCAAAUUAAACAAAUUAUCAAAUUA